rnacentral:rRNA from 1 species
GACGAACGCUGGCGGCGUGCCUAAUACAUGCAAGUUGAGCGAUGAAGAUUGGUGCUUGCACCAAUUUGAAGAGCAGCGAACGGGUGAGUAACGCGUGGGGAAUCUGCCUUUGAGCGGGGGACAACAUUUGGAAACGAAUGCUAAUACCGCAUAAUAACUUUAAACAUAAGUUUUAAGUUUGAAAGAUGCAAUUGCAUCACUCAAAGAUGAUCCCGCGUUGUAUUAGCUAGUUGGUGAGGUAAAGGCUCACCAAGGCGAUGAUACAUAGCCGACCUGAGAGGGUGAUCGGCCACAUUGGGACUGAGACACGGCCCAAACUCCUACGGGAGGCAGCAGUAGGGAAUCUUCGGCAAUGAACGAAAGUCUGACCGAGCAACGCCGCGUGAGUGAAGAAGGGUUUCGGAUCGUAAAACUCUGUUGGUAGAGAAGAACGUUGGUGAGAGUGGAAAGCUCAUCAAGUGACGGUAACUACCCAGAAAGGGACGGCUAACUACGUG